UGGGGAAUCUUCCGCAAUGGACGAAAGUCUGACGGAGCAACGCCGCGUGAGUGAUGACGGUCUUCGGAUUGUAAAGCUCUGUUAAUCGGGACGAAUGGUUUGUGUGCAAAUAGUGCAUAGACAUGACGGUACCGGAAUAGAAAGCCACGGCUAACUACGUGCCAGCAGCCGCGGUAAUACGUAUGUUGCGAGCGUUAUCCGGAAUUAUUGGGCUUAAAGGGCAUCUAGGCGGUAAGACAAGUUGAAGGUGAAAACCUGUGGCUCAACCAUAGGCUUGCCUACAAAACUGUUGAACUAGAGUACUGGAAAGGUGGGUGGAACUACACGAGUAGAGGUGAAAUUCGUAGAUAUGUGUAGGAAUGCCGAUGAUGAAGAUAACUCACUGGACAGAAACUGACGCUGAAGUGCGAAAGCUAGGGGAGCAAACAGG
rnacentral:rRNA from 1 species